rnacentral:rRNA from 1 species
GUAAUCAUGAGUGGAGGCAUUUUCAAGACCAUGAUAGGGAAUAGCACCGUGAGAGAAGGUUGACAAAAAGUCUAAGGAAGACUGUGGAACUGAAUCU